GAUACUCUGUUUUUCUCGUAGCUAAAGUUAAUUUUUGUGCCAACAAAUUAACGUAGGAAGCUCAAACUUAGUCUGUGGCAUAAAUGCCCUUAAUUUCUGGGACUUAUAAAACAGGCAGGAGAGCACCCUCUUCGUAAGGGAUGGGCAUUAAAAAACUUCUACCGGUUACGAAAAAAUGGGGUAUCG
rnacentral:other from 1 species